AACGAACGCUGGCGGCAGGCUUAACACAUGCAAGUCGAGCGGGCCCUUCGGGGUCAGCGGCAGACGGGUGAGUAACACGUGGGAACGUACCUUUUGGUUCGGAACAACUCCGGGAAACUGGAGCUAAUACCGGAUAAGCCCUUAGGGGGAAAGAUUUAUCGCCAAAAGAUCGGCCCGCGUCUGAUUAGCUAGUUGGUGGGGUAACGGCCCACCAAGGCGACGAUCAGUAGCUGGUCUGAGAGGAUGAUCAGCCACACUGGGACUGAGACACGGCCCAGACUCCUCCGGGAGGCAGCAGUGGGGAAUAUUGGACAAUGGGCGCAAGCCUGAUCCAGCCAUGCCGCGUGAGUGAUGAAGGCCUUAGGGUUGUAAAGCUCUUUUGUCCGGGAAGAUAAUGACUGUACCGGAAGAAUAAGCCACGGCUAACUUCGUG
rnacentral:rRNA from 1 species